AUCGGAGAUGCAGCUUUUACCAGUAUGCUUUCAAGCAUGUUCACUGAUGCCGGUCAACAGGGUCACAAAGAAAUUAGCAACAGAAUUGUCCAUUUCAUAUAAAGUAGUUUGGAAUUUACCUCAGCCCUUUAAACAUUUUCUUAUAUCUUCUUUUGUUUUAUGUAUACAUGCAGUUCUGGGUAUGUAGAAAUAUAUCUUUAGGAAGAACAAUUCUGGGCAGAAGCAUACCGUGAGUGUGCAACAACUCUACAUGCAGAACUGGCUGAAUUAGCUUCGGAAAAUCACAAAAUCAACUCUGCAGAUGAUAGUGACCCCGCAGAUGAGCUCGGUGUUGUACUUGUUGAGCCUGUUAUUGAUGAUCCUGAUCCAGGCAAAGGGACCAUUAUCAGUAGUCCUGACAACAAGUCUAUCAUUUGGUGUUUCGCAACACUGGUCAUAAUGUUCAGAUCCAAAAUUCUUCAGAUUUUUGGGAUUCUAAAUUCCCGAUGUACCGCAAGGACAAUAGCAAUGAGUGACAUAGGUUGCUAAGAAAAUAUGUCGUGCCUUGCAAGUUCCUGAAUAUUGUGGUUACCAAGAGGAUCUAUGUGGUACGUGUGGCCGAUCUCGCGAAUACAGAUUGAAGAAGUUUAAACUAUAUAGCUUGGAUUGGAGGGACAAUGUUUGUACGCUCAGAAGUACAUGCUGCCUUUGAUUUACCAUUCUUCCUAAGCUAAACCAAACUGAGAGAGAUCUGAGGGGAAGA